ensembl:lincRNA
CCCAGCAAACAUGACAGUGUGGGCCCACUGUGGGUAAGUGUGGGUUUACUGUGGGACAGUGUGGGCAAGACAAUCCCACAGAAAAACACAUGUGGGCCCCAUGUGGGGUAGCCCAUGCAGGCCCUUAAAAUAUUUUCCCCUUUGGGACCCACAUGGGUUUUUCUGUGGGCAAGCCCACAGUGGGUUUGCCCACAGAAAAACCCAUGUGGGCCCCAAUGGGUCAGCCCAUGUGGGGCCCAAUGGAUUUUGCCCUUUGGGGCCCCAAUGUUGGUUUUCUGUGGGCAAUCCCACAGUGGGCUUGCCCACAGAAAAACACAUGUGGGCCCCAUAUGGGUCAGCCUAUUUGGGACCCUAUGGAUUUUACCCUUUGGGGCCCAAUGUGGGUUUUCUGUGGGCAAUCCCACAGUGGGCUUGCCCACAGAAAAACACAUGUGGGCCCCAUUUAGGUCAGCCCAAGCGGGGCCCAAUGGAUUUUCCCUUUGUGGCCCCAACUUGUAUUUCGUGGGUAAAUUUAAGUUAAAUUUUAUAUUUAGCUUGUAUAUAAAAAUUACAAUAAAUCAUUUUCAUUUUGGUCAAAAUAGUGUGAAGGACAAAAACUGCCUUGCUGCUGAGAGAAAAUCAUCUAGAAAUUAUAGUUUUAUAUAUAAUCUUGAUCACAUAUGAUCACAGUGUGGACCCUCUGUGGGUAAGUGUGGGUUUACUGUGGGACAGUGUGGGCAGGACAAUCCACCAGAAAAACACAUGUGGCUCCCAUGUGGGGUAGCCAAUUGAGCCACCCAAAAUGUUUAUUGUCCACUUUUUUAGACAAUUUUGACACCAAAAGUGUUUAAAAAAAGUGUCCUUAAGUGAAAAAAAAAUAAAUAAAAAUCAUAACUGGAGCAAUUAUUUUCUUGGGGAAAGUGUGACACCCUGAAUGGUUAGUCACACGUUUAUAUGUAUGUUUUUUUCUUAUAAGUAUUUAUAAUAAAAUCUGCUUCUCUUUGUUAAUUUUCUUCAUGAUUCAUCUAAAGCUGUAUUUAAAUAUCAUGAGUGGAGAGUGGGUGGGACCGGGAUGGUUUGUUUACAGGGUUGCUAUGGUAACGGUGAACCGCAAGAGUGUCAUUACUAGAGCGCCUUGAUUUUGAACAACAACGCAGCCGUCUCAUCUUUUAGGUGGGUAAAUCCUAUCACAAAAUCGAUGAAAUGUUAAGAUAACAUGUUACUCAAGUGUGUUUACAAGUUUAGUGAGGUAACGUGCAGUUAAAGAGUUAAUUAGUGGUGAAGAUUGUAUCUGUUUGCUGACAUUGUAUGAAAACGGCAGUUAGCGGCCGGUUGUGUUAUAUGAUAACUGCAAAGUUAACUUAAGGGCUCCACCACGCUGAAAUCCUCUGUAAACGUUAUGUUUUUGUAUUCAAGUUGUUAAAAACGAUAAUAAUAUCACUUUUGAUUGUAUAAAUACACUUGGUUUAAGACGAGGGUUACAACGACUGUAACAGAUUUGUUUACGUUUGGAUUACACAGAGCUGUCCCAGAGAUGCAGAACAGAUGUACGAUACUGUGCUGACACCCCACUAGCCUAGCAACUGCUAGAAGGGCUCUGACCAGAUAAAAAGGUCAUUAGGGGCAUGCUGAUCUGCAAAGCAUUUAAAGGUAGAGUAUGUAAUGUUUCUAUAUUAUAACCCUCUGUAAGUUAAAAAGGAAAUCUGAAGAAAAAAUUACUAGUCAUGUACAGUAAGAACAGUAGAAACAGUUAAGUAAGUAACAUUUAUUUGUCCACAAAUUUUUAAAGACUGAAACACUUUUCAUUAUCCUGGAAUCUUUUUACAACCCCAGGGGCUUUGUAACAACUACAAAUAAUAAUAUAAUUUUUUAACUUUAUUUAUAAUGUUGGUCAAUUUGUCUAAUUUUAAAGCCUGCCAAGCACAUCUUUUUAACAGUUUUUACAGUUUAACAGAGUAUUAAAAAUUUAGAAACAGAAACAACCCUUAAAAGAAAAUCUAAUCUCAGAUUCAAUAGAUGUGAUAUAUGUUAUGUAUUAACUACUAGUAUAAUUGUAAGUGUACUACUUGAAAAUUACACAAUGACAUUUUUCAUUUGUACGGCAAGUGAACUCCUGAGUAGUAUACUUUUAUAAUACUUGUUGUAAAUACUUAGUUUAUGUACUCUAUUCUUUGCUCAGAACUUGACUAUUGCACUUAACCAUUACAACUGCACACACAGUAAUAGAUACACACACACACACACACACACACACACACACACACACACACACUUCCUUGAGGUACAAAGUGAGUACACUUUCACCGAACCACUAUAGUUUUAUUCUGCUGUAUACUGAAUAUACUCUAUUCCUUCCUAAUUGUAGUUUAAAAUGAAUAUAUUAAUAGUAUACUUGAGAAUAAAAUUUUUUUUGUAAGAGUACAUGGACCCUUUUCACAAAAAGGUUAUGAUGUGUUUAAUGGUGAUCAGCAUCUUAAAUCUUUAGUUCUUUGUACACUUCUAAAGCUAUACUUUGUAAUGUCAACUGUGCGUCAAAAUACAAAAAAAAAAAAAGAUUGCUUAUGUCAGGUGUUUCUAAUGCAGUGCCUAUGGGCAGGACAGUACAUUUGAUGUUGUUCUCUCCUCUGGUUGCCAUUAUCAGUCUCACACAAUUAUUAUUAUUAUUUUUUUUUUUGUGCUUUUUCUGAAAGUAUUGAUAACACCAUCACUGAGUUUUCCUUUGGUUAUUGGAGCAAAAUAAAAUGCAAACAUUUUGUUGUAUUCUGCCAUAAGUAUGAUUACUUCUGCUACUAAACAACCCAGAAUUGUGAAAAGGGUCCAUAGAACGUAAAUAACACAUUGAUUUUAACAUUUGUAUUUCAAUUGUUUUAUUUCCCAGACGCUGUAACAAAAAUCAGCAAAGGAACAGCUUCCCAAAUAGAAGCAACAAUAAAGUCAUGGUUAAGAAAGUCAAGAGACAGAGAUGGUGGGCGCCAAGGAAGGGCCAAAACUCAGAAGGGACUUACUUUUAAUUAAUUUUUUGGAGUUAAAAAAUUGCGUUUUCUUUUGUGUGUUUAUUCACGUUUGAUUUUGUAUAAAAUAUAAUUCUGUUUCAAUAUCAUACAGUUGUUCAUUUUUUGUUAUUAAACUCUGUAAAUAAAUAUUUACUAACAUGACCCAGUUUAUUGUCAAGUAAAACUGUUCUGAAAAUGCAUUGUAUAAUGGUUUUCUGUAUGUACAAAGUAGAACCAGACUCAGUGGCUCAGACAGGAUCAUUGCGAGCCGCCCACUGUGGGCCCAAUGGUGUGGGCUGACUGUGGGACCCACACUGUGGGGCACUUGUGGGGCCCCUUUGGGACAGCCCAAAAGUGUGGGCCGACUGUGGGCUAUCCCACACUAAUCAGAGCGGGUUAUCCCACAGUCAGCCCACACUUUUGGGCUGUCUCAGUGGGCCCUGACAUGCCCCACACUUCAUGCAACUGUGGGCCCAGAUACCGGCGUGAAAUGUGGGGCACGUGUGGGACCCACACUGUGGGGCCCCUUUGGGACAGCCCAAAAGUGUGGGCUGACUGUGGGAUAACCCACUCUGAUUAGUGUGGGAUAGCCCACAGUCGGCCCACACUUUUGGGCUGUCCCAAAGGGGCCCCACACCUGCCCCACAGUGUGGGUCCCACACGUGCCCCACAUUUCACGCCGGUAUCUGGGCCCACAGUGUGCUGCCCACAUGGGCCCCUUAUGGGCCCCAAAGUAGCAUGUUUGCUGGG